rnacentral:rRNA from 1 species
GAUGAACGCUGGCGGCGUGCCUAAUACAUGCAAGUCGAGCGAACAGACGAGGAGCUUGCUCCUCUGACGUUAGCGGCGGACGGGUGGGUAACACGUGGAUAACCUACCUAUAAGACUGGGAUAACUUCGGGAAACCGGAGCUAAUACCGGAUAACAUGUUGAACCGCAUGGUUCAACAGUGAAAGACGGUCUUGCUGUCACUUAUAGAUGGAUCCGCGCCGCAUUAGCUAGUUGGUAAGGUAACGGCUUACCAAGGCAACGAUGCGUAGCCGACCUGAGAGGGUGAUCGGCCACACUGGAACUGAGACACGGUCCAGACUCCUACGGGAGGCAGCAGUAGGGAAUCUUCCGCAAUGGGCGAAAGCCUGACGGAGCAACGCCGCGUGAGUGAUGAAGGUCUUCGGAUCGUAAAACUCUGUUAUUAGGGAAGAACAAAUGUGUAAGUAACUAUGCACGUCUUGACGGUACCUAAUCAGAAAGCCACGGCUAACUACGUG